AUUUAUACAGUGAAACUGCGAAUGGCUCAUUAAAUCAGUUAUCGUUUAUUUGACAGAUCCUUUCUACUUGGAUACCUGUGGAAAAACUAGAGCUAAUACAUGCUAAAAAUCCCGACUUCUGGAAGGGAUGUAUUUAUUAAAUAAAAAAUCAAUGCCUUCGGGCUCUUUGAUGAUUCAUAAUAACUUUUCGAAUCGCAUGGCUUCAUGCCGGCGAUGGUUCAUUCAAAUUUCUGCCCUAUCAACUUUCGAUGGUAGGAUAGUGGCCUACCAUGGUUUCAACGGGUGACGGGGAAUAAGGGUUCGAUUCCGGAGAGGGAGCCUGAGAAACGGCUACCACAUCCAAGGAAGGCAGCAGGCGCGCAAAUUACCCAAUCCUAAUUCAGGGAGGUAGUGACAAUAAAUAACGAUACAGGGCCCAUUGGGUCUUGUAAUUGGAAUGAGUACAAUUUAAAUACCUUAACGAGGAACAAUUGGAGGGCAAGUCUGGUGCCAGCAUCCGCGGUAAUUCCAGCUCCAAUAGCGUAUAUUAAAGUUGUUGCAGUUAAAAAGCUCGUAGUUGAACCUUGGGCUUGGUUGGCCGGUCCGCCUUACGGUGAGUACUGGACCCAACCGAGUCUUUCCUUCUGGGAAACCUUCUGCUCUUUCAGGUAGUUGGGGAACCAGGACUUUUACUUUGAAAAAAUUAGAGUGUUCAGAGCAGGCCUUUGCUCGAAUAUAUUAGCAUGGAAUAAUAGAAUAGGACGUUAUGGUUCUAUUUUGUUGGUUUCUACGACCAUCCUAAUGAUUAAUAGGGACAGUCGGGGGCGUCACUAUUCAAGUGUCAGAGGUGAAAUUCUUGGAUUUAUUGAAGACUAACUACUGCGAAAGCAUUUGCCAAGGACGUUUCUCAUUAAAUCAAGAACGAACAUUAGGGGAGCGUAUGUAUGAUCAUAUACCGUCGUAGUCUUAACCAUAAACUAUGCCAGACUAGGGAUCGGGAAGUUAGAUUCGUUUUUUUGACUCACUGCAGGCCACCUCUACGAGUACAUCUAUAGUCAUUUGG
rnacentral:rRNA from 1 species